GAUCCUGGCUCAGGAUGAACGCUGGCGGCGUGCUUAACACAUGCAAGUCGAACGAAGCAACUAUCUUGCUUGCAAGAGAGUGACUUAGUGGCGGACGGGUGAGUAACGCGUGGGUAACCUGCCUCAUACAGGGGGAUAACAGUUGGAAACGACUGCUAAGACCGCAUAACCCGCUAGUGUCGCAUGACACGGACGGAAAAUAUUUAUAGGUAUGAGAUGGGCCCGCGUCUGAUUAGCUAGUUGGUAAGGUAACGGCUUACCAAGGCGACGAUCAGUAGCCGACUUGAGAGAGUGAUCGGCCACAUUGGGACUGAGACACGGCCCAAACUCCUACGGGAGGCAGCAGUGGGGAAUAUUGGACAAUGGGGGAAACCCUGAUCCAAGCGACGCCGCGUGAGUGAAGAAGUAUUUCGGUAUGUAAAGCUCUAUCAGCAGGGAAGAUAAUGACAGUACCUGACUAAGAAGCCCCGGCUAACUACGUGCCAGCCGCAGC
rnacentral:rRNA from 1 species